UAUUUUAAAGAGAGUUUGAUCCUGGCUCAGGACGAACGCUGGCGGCGUGCCUAAUACAUGCAAGUCGAACGAACGGAGGAAGAGCUUGCUCUUCCAAAGUUAGUGGCGGACGGGUGAGUAACACGUGGGCAACCUGCCUGUAAGUUGGGGAUAACUCCGGGAAACCGGGGCUAAUACCGAAUGAUAAAGUGUGGCGCAUGCCACGCUUUUGAAAGAUGGUUUCGGCUAUCGCUUACAGAUGGGCCCGCGGUGCAUUAGCUAGUUGGUAGGGUAAUGGCCUACCAAGGCAACGAUGCAUAGCCGACCUGAGAGGGUGAUCGGCCACACUGGGACUGAGACACGGCCCAGACUCCUACGGGAGGCAGCAGUAGGGAAUCUUCCGCAAUGGACGAAAGUCUGACGGAGCAACGCCGCGUGUAUGAAGAAGGUUUUCGGAUCGUAAAGUACUGUUGUUAGAGAAGAACAAGGAUAAGAGUAACUGCUUGUCCCUUGACGGUAUCUAACCAGAAAGCCACGGCUAACUACGUGCCAGCAGCCG
rnacentral:rRNA from 1 species